AUUGAACGCUGGCGGCAUGCCUAACACAUGCAAGUCGAACGGGGGUAGCAAUACCCUAGUGGCGGACGGGUGAGGAAUACGUAGGAAUUUGCCCUUAAGUAGGGGAUAACCCGGGGAAACCCGGACUAAUACCGCAUGAUCUCGUGAGAGCAAAGCAGGGGACCGCAAGGCCUUGCGCUUUUGGAGAAGCCUACGUCGGAUUAGCUAGUUGGUGGGGUAAUGGCCCACCAAGGCUACGAUCCGUAACUGGUCUGAGAGGAUGAUCAGUCACACCGGAACUGAGACACGGUCCGGACUCCUACGGGAGGCAGCAGUGGGGAAUAUUGGACAAUGGGCGAAAGCCUGAUCCAGCAAUGCCGCGUGUGUGAAGAAGGCCUUCGGGUUGUAAAGCACUUUAGGCUGGAAAGAAAAAGCUUUGGCUAAUAUCCAAAGCCUUGACGGUACCAGCAGAAUAAGCACCGGCUAACUCUGUGCCAGCAGCCGCAGUAACAC
rnacentral:rRNA from 1 species